rnacentral:misc_RNA from 1 species
GAUGAAGAACGCAGCGAAAUGCGAUAAGUAAUGUGAAUUGCAGAAUUCCGUGAGUCAUCGAAUCUUUGAACGCACAUUGCGCCCCCUGGUAUUCCGGAGGGCAUGUCUGUCCGAGCGUCAUUAGUCCAAUCUCAAGCCCGGCUUGUCGUUGGGUCGCACCGCCCGGGGCGGUGGACCCGAAAUAUAAUGACGGGGUCUAGCGGACCGUGGGCGCAGCGAGCUUUUACAGCACGCGUCCCGGCGUCAUCUAGACGCGUCUCCAACCAUACUCUCUGUAGGUUGACCUCGGAUCAGACAGGAUUACCCGCUGAACUUAAGCAUAUCAAUAAGCGGAGGA